GCCAGACUCCUACGGGAGGCAGCAGUGAGGAAUAUUGGUCAAUGGCCGAGAGGCUGAACCAGCCAAGUCGCGUGAGGGAAGACGGCCCUACGGGUUGUAAACCUCUUUUGCCGGGGAGCAAAGUGCCGCACGUGUGCGGUUUGGAGAGUACCCGGAGAAAAAGCAUCGGCUAACUCCGUGCCAGCAGCCGCGGUAAUACGGAGGAUGCGAGCGUUAUCCGGAUUUAUUGGGUUUAAAGGGUGCGCAGGCGGAUUUUUAAGUCAGCGGUCAAAUCGUGGGGCUCAACCCCAUCCAGCCGUUGAAACUGGGGAUCUAGAGUGUGCGAGAGGUAUGCGGAAUGCGUGGUGUAGCGGUGAAAUGCAUAGAUAUCACGCAGAACUCCGAUUGCGAAGGCAGCGUACCGGCGCCCAACUGACGCUGAAGCACGAAGGCGUGGGUAUCGAACAGGAUUAGAUACCCCAGUAG
rnacentral:rRNA from 1 species